AUUGAACGCUGGCGGCAGGCCUAACACAUGCAAGUCGAACGGAGGGGCGGACGGGAGAGUAAUGCUUGGGAAUCUGGCUUAGGGAGGGGGAUAAAGAAGGGAAACUGUCGCUACUACAGCGUACCAAAGGAUGAGCCCAAUGGGGAUUAGGGAGUUGGUGGGGUAAUGGCGUACCAAGCCGACGAUCUCUAGCUGGUCUGAGAGGGUGCGAAGUCACACUGGAACUGAGACACGGUCCAGACUCCGACGGGAGGCAGCAGUUGGGAAUAUUGGACAAUGGGCGAAAGCCUGAUCCAGCCAUGCCGCGUGUGUGAAGAAGGUCUUCGGAUUGUAAAGCACUUUCAGUUGGGAGGCGUUACCAACAGAAUAAGCACCGGCUAACUUCGUGCCAGCAGCCGCGGUAAUUC
rnacentral:rRNA from 1 species